GACGAACGCUGGCGGCGUGCUUAAGACAUGCAAGCCGUACGAGAAAGUCUCUUCGGGGAUGAGUAAAGUGGCGCACGGGUGAGUAACGCGUGGGUAAUCUGCCCUUAGGUUUGGGAUAACCCCGGGAAACCGGAGCUAAUACCGAAUGAGACCACGAUGACUUCGGUCGAUGUGGGAAAAGGUGGCCUCUUCUUGAAAGCUAUCGCCAAAGGAUGAGCCCGCGUUUGAUUAGCUAGUUGGUGAGGUAAUGGCUCACCAAGGCGACGAUCAAUAGCUGGUCUGAGAGGAUGAUCAGCCACACUGGAACUGAGAUACGGUCCAGACUCCUACGGGAGGCAGCAGUCAGGAAUAUUGGGCAAUGGGCGAAAGCCUGACCCAGCAACGCCGCGUGAAGGAUGAAGGCCUUCGGGUCGUAAACUUCUGUCGAGAGGGAAGAAUGUGUACGGGUAAACAAUCCGUGCAUUUGACGGUACCUCCAAAGGAAGCACCGGCUAACUCCGUGCCAGCAGCCGCCGUAAUAC
rnacentral:rRNA from 1 species